CGCCUCCGUUGAUAAAACUAACACUUAGCUGACGUCAUUGUGAUGAUAACCUGCAAUUUCAACUCGAUCUCAUACAUUACAUUAUAUAAUGCCAAAAGGUUUUAGUUAAAAAGUUGCGGUCUAACUCUUAUCACAUCCACAGUAAACUUGCUCGACUAUGGCAUUCAGUACGAGAUCUUGGUUGGUCGUUGCAAUGAUAAUUGCGAUUGUUUUAGUCAUUGCUGUUCAACAAAUCGAAGGAGCAUGCUAUAUCGACAGAAAGGGCGACCAACAUUGUGAUAGCGAGCCGAAAUGUAUAACACGUACAGAUGAAAAUGGUCACGUACAUAAAGUGUGCGUUGGAUAACGUAUUGCAUCUUCAAGAUAUUCAUUGAAAUUUGACAUUUUGAACUAAUAAAAAAUUAUGUUGCGAAAAUAAAAAUGGAAAUCUCA